rnacentral:rRNA from 1 species
GUCUACGGCUAUGCCACCCUGAACGUGCCCGAUCUCAUCUGAUCUCGGAAGCUAAGCUGGGUCGAGCCUGGUUAGUACUUGGAUGGGAGACCACCUAGGAAGACCAGGUGCUGUAGGCA